CGUUCUGAGGCUGCGGAUACCGGCGCGGCGGCGUCAAGAUGGCGGCAGCAGUGGCGGCGGCGGCAGCAGCGGCGGCUGCAGCUGCAUCCCUUCAGGUGCUGGAGAUGGAGAGCAUGGAGUCGGCCGCCGCCGGCUCAGCGGGACUGGCUGCCGAGGUCCGAGGCAGUGGCACGGUGGACUUCGGGCCCGGGCCCGGGAUCUCUGCCAUGGAAGCAAGCGGGGGCGAUCCUGGCCCGGAGGCUGAGGACUUCGAGUGCAGCUCCCACUGCUCGGAGCUGUCCUGGCGGCAGAACGAGCAACGGCGCCAAGGCCUUUUCUGCGACAUCACUCUGUGCUUCGGCGGCGCCGGAGGCCGCGAGUUCCGGGCCCACCGCUCCGUGCUGGCUGCCGCCACCGAGUAUUUCACACCCCUGCUCUCGGGCCAGUUUUCCGAGUCGCGCUCGGGCCGGGUGGAGAUGCGCAAGUGGAGCUCCGAGCCGGGACCCGAACCCGACACGGUGGAAGCCGUUAUCGAAUACAUGUACACCGGCCGCAUUCGCGUCAGCACCGGCAGUGUGCACGAGGUGCUGGAGUUGGCCGACAGAUUCUUAUUAAUUCGCUUAAAAGAAUUUUGUGGAGAAUUUCUCAAGAAAAAACUUCAUCUCUCAAAUUGUGUGGCCAUUCAUAGUUUAGCGCACAUGUAUACCCUGAGUCAACUUGCUCUAAAAGCUGCUGAUAUGAUACGGAGAAAUUUCUACAAAGUCAUUCAGGAUGAAGAAUUUUAUACCUUACCUUUCCAUCUCAUUCGAGAUUGGCUUUCAGACUUGGAAAUUACGGUUGAUUCUGAAGAGGUUCUCUUUGAAACAGUUUUGAAGUGGGUUCAGAGAAAUGCUGAAGAGAGAGAGAGAUACUUUGAAGAACUUUUUAAAUUGCUCAGGUUGUCCCAGAUGAAACCUACCUAUCUUACUCGACAUGUCAAACCAGAGAGGCUGGUGGCCAAUAAUGAAGUUUGUGUCAAGCUGGUGGCAGAUGCAGUGGAGAGGCAUGCUCUGAGAGCUGAGAACAUACAAUCUGGCACAUUCCAGCAUCCCACUUCUCAUGUCUCAUUGUUACCUCGCUAUGGACAAAAUAUGGAUGUGAUCAUGGUUAUUGGAGGUGUGUCAGAAGGAGGUGAUUAUUUAAGUGAAUGUGUGGGAUAUUUUGUUGAUGAGGACAGAUGGGUGAACCUGCCCCAUAUUCAUAAUCACCUUGAUGGACAUGCUGUGGCAGUAACAGAAUCCUAUGUGUAUGUUGCUGGAUCAAUGGAACCAGGGUUUGCUAAAACUGUGGAAAGGUACAACCCAAAUUUGAAUACAUGGGAGCAUGUUUGUAGUUUGAUGACAAGGAAGCAUUCUUUUGGGCUAACAGAAGUUAAGGGGAAGCUGUAUAGCAUCGGUGGACAUGGCAACUUUAGUCCUGGCUUUAAAGAUGUGACUGUUUAUAAUCCUGAGCUCGAUAAAUGGCACAACUUGGAAUCAGCACCAAAGAUUCUUCGAGAUGUCAAAGCGCUCGCCAUCGAAGACCGAUUUGUGUACAUUGCUGCCCGCACUCCUGUGGACCGAGACACUGAGGAUGGGUUGAAGGCUGUAAUUACAUGCUAUGAUACAGAGACUCGACAGUGGCAGGAUGUGGAAUCUUUGCCACUUAUUGACAAUUACUGCUUUUUCCAGAUGUCUGUGGUCAAUUCAAACUUUUAUCAGACGGCAUCAUGCUGUCCCAAGAGUUAUUCUUUAGAAAAUGAAGAGGCAGUAAGAAAAAUUGCCAGCCAAGUGUCUGAUGAGAUCCUUGAAAGCUUGCCUCCAGAAGUCCUAAGCAUUGAAGGAGCAGCCAUUUGUUAUUACAAAGACGAUGUCUUCAUUAUUGGAGGCUGGAAAAACAGUGAUGAUAUUGACAAACAGUACCGGAAAGAAGCCUACCGAUACUGUGCAGAGAGAAAAAGGUGGAUGCUCCUUCCUCCCAUGCCACAGCCUCGUUGUAGAGCCACUGCUUGUCACGUCAGGAUCCCAUACCGGUACUUGCAUGGCACACAGAGAUAUCCUAUGCCUCAAAAUCUAAUGUGGCAGAAGGACCGCAUCAGACAGAUGCAAGAAAUACAUCGGCAUGCCCUGAACAUGCGGCGAGUGCCAAGCUCCCAGAUUGAAUGCUAAAUUCUCUAACACAUGCAGUUUAUAAACUGUUCUCCAUGUUUAAACAUGAAGCUGAAGAUACCCAGACUGUUACUUGAAAAAGUAUGUYGAUAACUUAUUUUCUACCUGGAAUGAUUAUAACUCAAUGUAAAGGAAGUAUAGUUAAAAACUGAAGAAUGGGAAACCGAAUUCAAUACAUGGCAGCCUAGGCCUUGACUGAAAGAAGGGGUAAGUCCUUCAUUGCAUGAUGAUGUGUGCAGGUUUUCCUGACUACUGAGUUUCUAAUUUUUAUAUUUGAAUUCACACUGUGACUUCACAUAGUAACUUGUGUUUCUAAAAUAUCCUAACUCACUUAUUGAUAAGGAAACAAACCAGAUUUGCUUAAAUCUGUUCAAGGCUGACAUUCUGAAAUUCUAAACUGGAAAUAAGACUAUUUGGAAUGGUUCUAAUAUUAUGAUCAGGCCUCAAGUGGCUGUUUGGGAAAGAAGUUUUCCUUUUGAUGAAAAUUCAAAAUGGUGUUUGGUAAUUUAAGCAGUUUUUAAAAACACAGCUUAAUAAAAAAAAACAACAGCUCAAUGAGUACUCAUGCAAACCUUUGUUCUAUUGCUUUUGUUUUUCUUUGGUGAAAGGGAGAGAGAGGAAUUGAUAAUACCAAAAAAAAAAAAAGUAAUAACUAUACAUAACUUUUGGUGAGGCUGCUUUCAUCUUAGAAUGGGGUAUCCUUGAACUAUACCUACUGUAACAUGGUUUUUAAAAAAAUCAGUAGUAUAAAUUGAGAAUGUCAGUCAUGAGCUUAGUGUUUAAUACAUCUCACUUGGAGUUAUUUGCAUGAUUAGUCUUGUGUAUCUUGAUAGUCAGCUUUGCUUUUGCUGUGCCAAUUCAAAAAUAACGUUUUUGCUAAGAGCUCUUAGAAUUMAUUGACAUCAGUUUUGUUUUGAUCACCUGGUUUUGUAUAGUAUUUCUGGGACCAAAACAUUUAUAUUAAAGCAACAACACUUGACCAUUUUAAUGUAGAGCAUAAGUUUGAAGCCAGAAACAGUUAUCUAUAGAAGAUUUGUGUGCUUUUUGUGUUUUAACCCUUUCAGGCUGCUGGCUAGGCAGUUUCUAGAGCACUCUCUUUCCUCACUUAUCUCAWGACUGGUGUAGCAUGUGAUAUGUUUAAAAUAUUUCAUUUUGUGCUUCAUGAUUGUCAUAUCAACACUAUCUAUACUCUAGACAGGUGAGCUGAAUUAUACAUUUAUUUACUCGGUCUGAUCAAGCAAAACUAAAGGAAUUUUUUUGGUACUUUCCUCAAACUGAGCUUAAAUAAAAAGGAUAUAUCAGCCACAUUUCAUGUCUUUGAAAGUAAACAGUAUCGUGAAACAACACUCUG